rnacentral:misc_RNA from 1 species
AAAGGUGCAUGAGUGGUGUUUGGAUUGAUACGGGUGGUCGGCUCCCUGCUUGAGCAGGCACGACCAUGCGUGCUUUCCUUUUCAGAUGUUCGGCAAGGCUUGUAUCGUCUUGACCGUACCAGUGGGUUUCUUGUGCUGCAUACCUAAAAGAUGGCAUCGAUCUGAUCAAAUCAGUAUCGUUUUCGUCUGGCAUUGCGAUAGCAUUGUCGGAUGAACCAUGCAACACACUCUUCGAUCCAUACAGUUGACGUUUACUCGUUCAUUGGCUGGGUCGUUGAGGGUGCUUGGUGUCCCGGAUAUGGAAGCCAAAGAAGGCAUACGGAUCGAAAGAUCCUUUUAUUGCCCUCAUUUGAGCGUUCUUGCUUCUCUCACACGACCGCCUUUGCACGUAUGGCACGUCCCAGCGGAUUGGCCACGUCGGAGAGGGAUGCAUCGAGCGUUCUUGCUUUUCUCA